GAAGGAUAUAUUAAUAAGUAAAUAAUGAAAAUUAAUGUUUUUGGCGGUUGAAUUGAAUUAGGGGAGCUUGUUCUUAUCGAAUUUACUCGUUAUAUUAGGUUUUAUUAUUGUUUAUUUAUUUCCGAUAUAUUAUAAUUUAAGUUUAUUUUCAGGUCAAUGUGUAGCUUAGUAAUAAUGAAUUAGCUACUGUUAUUUAUUAAUGGAUACAUUAGGAAGAUUUUGUUGAAAUUGAACUUGAUUGUAAUUUUUUAUAUAAAAGUGGAUUAAUUAGAUUUU
rnacentral:rRNA from 1 species